CAAACUCCAUUUAUUUAUUUAUAUAUAUCUAUUUCACUUAGGACUAUAUUUUAUGUUAGGGCUUAUUUUCGUUAACACCGGACUAUAUAGUCAAGCAGACCUUUCAUGUGUAUCACGUGAUUAGGCACCUAUUGAAAUUUCACAGGGGUUUUUAGGCCCGGUUUUGGUGUGCGUACAGCACGUAGUAAAUACCGUCAACUGGUCGGUGAUAUAUGGUGUCGGAGAUACAAAGGGUAUUAUUAGUAAUAUGGUUACAACUCGAUGUUUGCUGAUAUCAAUUACAACGCCUGGAGUCGGUGAAAAUAUCCGUUAUAAAUAUACAAAGAAGUCCGUUUAAAUAUAUGUUAAACGAAUCGAGCAGUCCGUGCAGUAUUAUGCAGUUUCAAGUCGUCAUUGCUCAUUGAAGUUAUCAUUGCAGUAAAAGUAUAAAAUCUAGUGUUCUUUUCAUCAAUUUAGAAUCAACCAAAAAUGUGUGAAAAUAGUUAUUUUCUGUCCGUUUUAUAUUAAAAGAAAUUCAAGGAGAACAACCCAAAGUUAUUCUACAGUACGUGCAACGUUCAACCUUUACCGGGAAGUGUGCAGAGUGGAUGGAGGUGUGCGGACUGUAAUUGUUUAAUUUCAUUUUGUUUAUUUCAUAACAUUAUAUUUAGUUCUGUUUUGUGUGUGUUUAUUUAGUUACAUUUGCAUGUAUUCAUUUCAUUAUUUCAUUUAUGUUGAAUUUACUUUACUUUUGUUUUGUUUAUUAAAUUUAUAUUUAAAUUUA